AUUGAACGCUGGCGGCAGGCCUAACACAUGCAAGUCGAACGAGUGGCGGACGGGUGAGUAAUGUCUGGGAAACUGCCUGAUGGAGGGGGAUAACUACUGGAAACGGUAGCUAAUACCGCAUACCAUCGGAUGUGCCCAGAUGGGAUUAGCUAGUGGGGGGGGUAAAGGCUCACCUAGGCGACGAUCCCUAGCUGGUCUGAGAGGAUGACCAGCCACAAUGGAACGGAGCCACGGUCCAGACUCCGACGGGAGGCAGCAGUGGUGAAUAUUGCACAAUGGGCGCAAGCCUGAUGCAGCCAUGCCGCGUGUGUGAAGAAGGCCGUCGGGUUGUAAAGUACUUUCAGCGGGGAGGCGUUACCCGCAGAAGAAGCACCGGCUAACUCCGUGCCAGCAGCCGCGGUAAUUC
rnacentral:rRNA from 1 species